rnacentral:rRNA from 1 species
UGCAAGUCGAGCGCAGGAAGCAAGUUGAUCCCCUUCGGGGGUGACGCUUGUGGAAUGAGCGGCGGACGGGUGAGUAACACGUGGGCAACCUGCCUGUAAGACUGGGAUAACCCCGGGAAACCGGGGCUAAUACCGGAUAAUACUUUCUUUUGCAUAAAGGAAAGUUGAAAGGCGGCUUCGGCUGUCACUUACAGAUGGGCCCGCGGCGCAUUAGCUAGUUGGUGAGGUAACGGCUCACCAAGGCGACGAUGCGUAGCCGACCUGAGAGGGUGAUCGGCCACACUGGGACUGAGACACGGCCCAGACUCCUACGGGAGGCAGCAGUAGGGAAUCUUCCGCAAUGGACGAAAGUCUGACGGAGCAACGCCGCGUGAGUGAUGAAGGUUUUCGGAUCGUAAAACUCUGUUGUUAGGGAAGAACAAGUUGGGUAGUAACUGACCCAACCUUGACGGUACCUAACCAGAAAGCCACGGCUAACUACGUGCCAGCAGCCGCGGUAAUACGUAGGUGGCAAGCGUUGUCCGGAAUUAUUGGGCGUAAAGCGCUCGCAGGCGGUCCUUUAAGUCUGAUGUGAAAUCUCGCGGCUCAACCGCGAACGGUCAUUGGAAACUGGAGGACUUGAGUACAGAAGAGGAGAGUGGAAUUCCACGUGUAGCGGUGAAAUGCGUAGAGAUGUGGAGGAACACCAGUGGCGAAGGCGACUCUCUGGUCUGUAACUGACGCUGAGGAGCGAAAGCGUGGGGAGCGAACAGGAUUAGAUACCCUGGUAGUCCACGCCGUAAACGAUGAGUGCUAGGUGUUAGGGGGUUUCCGCCCCUUAGUGCUGAAGUUAACGCAUUAAGCACUCCGCCUGGGGAGUACGGCCGCAAGGCUGAAACUCAAAAGAAUUGACGGGGGCCCGCACAAGCGGUGGAGCAUGUGGUUUAAUUCGAAGCAACGCGAAGAACCUUACCAGGUCUUGACAUCCUCUGCUAUUCCUAGAGAUAGGAAGUUCCCUUCGGGGACAGAGUGACAGGUGGUGCAUGGUUGUCGUCAGCUCGUGUCGUGAGAUGUUGGGUUAAGUCCCGCAACGAGCGCAACCCUUGAUCUUAGUUGCCAGCAUUUAGUUGGGCACUCUAAGGUGACUGCCGGUGACAAACCGGAGGAAGGUGGGGAUGACGUCAAUCAUCAUG